rnacentral:rRNA from 1 species
UACAGAGACUGCAAGCGUUAUUCGGAUUCACUGGGCGUAAAGGGUGCGCAGGUGGUUGUGUGUGUCAGAUGUGAAAUCCCGGAGCUUAACUCCGGAACUGCGUCUGAAACUGCACGACUAGAGCAUUGGAGAGGGUAGUGGAAUUCACGGUGUAGCAGUGAAAUGCGUAGAUAUCGUGAGGAACACCAGAGGCGAAGGCGACUUCCUGGACAAUUGCUGACGCUCAGGCACGAAAGCGUGGGGAGCCAAAGGG